CCCGCCGCGUGCGCAUGCCCGGCCAUAUACCCCGCGCGUCACGGCAGGACCCGCCCCUGCCUGCCGCCCCGCCCCGUUCCCCCGCGGCCUGCCACGUGGGGCGGUCAGGGAGCAGCGUCCAGUUACUCCAGCCAACCUGGUCCUUUAUCGCUGUGCAUCCCGGACUCGCAUCCUACUCUCACGGCCUCAUCCACCCUUCCUCUCAAAUUACAUGCUUGACUCAUAGAGGCCCUGCAGGCUCCUUUAUUCUCUGGAAACCUCCCAUCUGUCCUUCUGUGCCCUUUGUGGGAAACUCUCAUAGCCUGACCUCCAUCCUGAAGUAGAGAGCACCUCUCUUGUGUUUUUCAGACGUUAUGUCAUCCACUUGGGCUCCAAAGUGCAAUGGGCUGUCAGGAAAGGUCAGUCCCCCAUCAGGCCUUUCCUCAAAGGCAUAUAUAAGAAGAACAAGAAGCCCACCUAGAGAUAAGGCAUCAGAUACUUCAAGUACACAGAGCUGAAUAGGAGAAGCCUGACCUGGCACGUGCUUGGAGAGCAUUCUAACACUGACUACGGGAAGGCCCAGUUUCUCUUCAUUGUUUCAUGAUGAAGCUCUUCUUUUCACACACUGGCAUUUAAAAUAAGUAUUUCUGCUCAGUCCCUUACCAUCCAUCCAUCACCCCAAAACAUACAUAGAUACAUGCGAAUUUGAAAAGGUUAAGUAAAAUUAGCUUUUAAACCCCAGUAAAGGGAUGAUCCACUUAAGCCUGAAGAGAUUUGAAGAUUCUGAAACAGAAGGGGAAAAAAAAAAAAAGAAGAAAACCACACAGAAAACCAAAGCUUCCCCAAACCGCUGAAGCCCACAGGCCUGGGGAUAACUUCCUACAUGUCUCACUCAAGUGAGAGUAUCACAUUUGCCCAAGCCAACUUUGAGAAGACUGAACCUGGAUUUUGAAAAAUUCCAAGCAGCAUCAGCCCACAGCUGGAAGAGAUUCUUGCAAAAUCUCAUUUAUAGAUAUUUGCAGAAAUAUCUACACUCCAUCCAGAAUGUUCCUAGCUCUGCUGAAUCCUUCCCAUGUAUUCUGAUCAAAUUUACUGAUGAUCAGUCACAAAGAGCAAAGGUGUAUGUGUGUGCAUGCAUGCAUCUGUCAAGGGCUGAAAGGUCCAGAAAAGCAGCCUCAGCUGGAAUCGAAGGAAGCCAGGAUAGCCGCACUCACUUCCCUGGACAAGUGGGUUCAAGGGCUUGACUAUGCCUUAAGCUGGUUUAACUACAUGUCUUUCACACAUGCACACAGCUGUGCGCUCUAAAACAUUAUGCUGCACAGGCCUUUCUAUAGCCCUCCCAGAUGUACAAAUAAAGUAGCUCUCUUAUUUA